rnacentral:rRNA from 1 species
UAACGUAGGGCGCAAGGCGUUGUUCCGGAAUUUAUUGGGCGUAAAAGGAGCUCGUAGGCGGUUUGUCGCGUCGGAUGUGAAAGCCCGGGGGCUUAACCCCCGGGGUCUGCAUUCGAAUACGGGCAGACUGGAGUGUGGUAGGGGAGAUCGAAUUCCUGGUGUAGCGGUAGAAAAUGCGCAGAUAUCAGGAGGAACACCGGUGGCGAAGGCGGAUCGUCUGGGCCAUUACUGACGCUGAGGAGCGAAAGGCGUGGGGAGCGAACAGG